UUGCUGUUGAGUGAUGUUUCAUAUCUUUUACAUUUGUUAUAACCGGACUGCAUGCGAAUUUGAACUUCAUAGCUGAGGAAGCGGGUGGAGAAAUAGUCCCAAUAUCAUAACAAUCUUAAAUAAAACUUCUAAAUAUGCCCGUGUGUGUACCCGUGUGCGCGCGCGCGUGCGCGCGACCCGCUCACGCGCGCGUGUGUAUGUACAGUAUGUGCGUGAGUUUUUAAUUUAAAAUGUCUUAACUUAACUCGGAAGGAUCUGAAUGACAGGUCAUUUCAUCUGAGAUCAUUCCGCAUGUAACAGCCGGAAUCACUCACUGUUUCCCACAACGACACGAGUCAUCAGCCGUUUCCUCAAGGUCACGUCAGAGCGGUUAUGAUGUGGAGAGGCAAACCAGACCACCACCAUACGCGAAGAUGAGCCUCGAGGCGUGACAGUUAUUUUUUCAAACUGAGGAGUUCGGACUCCGGACCGGCAUUUCUGCUUGUUUGUACCCUGAGAUAACCAUGGUUAAUAAAUGGUCAGACACGUCACUGGCUUUAAAAUAUAAACCCCAUUGAUGCAAAAAGAUGCUGCAUGGAAUGACAAUGUGGUUUGGACUUGGUGAAGAACAUGGAAACAUCUCUUAAUAAAAUGGCCCCAAACAUCAUCAGGAGUGCAAAAGAAGGAAGUAAAAACAUCUCUACGCCAAUCUCAUUGGAGAGGAAACCACAGAAGGUCUGGUGAGGAAUGCUGCACUUAUGUUAUUGCAAGCAUUAUUUCAAGAAAAUCCCAGCUUCCUUUACUGUGUAAAUAGUGAACCCAAAGGUCCCACACCAACCAUAGUGUUCAACGGCUCUCCUGAUCUUUUCAAAUCUGAAUGUAUCAACUUUAUAAUGGACAAUGUGAACUUAAUAUGUGGAAGACAUUGACAUCACAGGCUGUGGAAUGACUGUGUCACAGGUCGGAGAAGCGGACCGCCCCUGUCGCGGAUCACGCUCCUCCUAGUUCCACCUCGAGGAGGUCCCAAAGCACCCCAAUGACCAGACAAACCAGAGGGGGAGUAUUACGGGGGCCAGGGACGUUGGAGGGGUUUCCACGUGACUCCAGCUGGAACACCGCUACAGAGCGUAUCUGGGUGGGUUGGGCACACACCGUCGCGGCGGCCCCUGAUGGCAUCCACAAGGGUCCAAGACCCUCCUAAGCUCCUAGCCGUAGCAGAACUACGUAUUUCAGCACCCGAAGGACUAACAACCCAGCCGGCAUCUGCAGCGUAUAUCCAACGUGAUCAAACUUCACUCUGACAAGUAACUUCCUAUACACAACCACGCCGUCCUUUCGCCCGGACCAGCCCCGCACUCUUUCCGCCCGCUACCUAGCGGUCGCCGGAUCAGCAGAGCCUGCGGACUCUUCGGAGGCUGGUCUUCGUUGUGCUGCCCAAGGCGGAAGUUGACUCUAAAAUCCCGAAAAUCGACCCUUCCAGUAACUUCUACCUUCUCUCUUUAUAUCCUCCUCCAUGGCGUGGCUCGCCCAACCAUCGCUCGCCACGUCACUCACACAGCUGUGCCUUGUUUCAGCGAGUGCGGGGAUUCCCGGGGAACCCUGAAGUGCCGGUGUCUGUACAAACCGGUCCGGGCGGAACCUCUUCACUCUCCUUUUGGUUCUGCCCCGCAUAGUCACUCCGUGACAACUGUUUGCGUUUUUUUUUCUCCUCAAUGUUCAAUACCCUUUUGCCAUUAAGCACACAGUGACUUUAAUUUAUAAAAUAUAUGCUUAAGUUUUAAUACCUGUACAAAACAAAUGUACAAUCAACUUGUGUAAAUUUUAAUAAAAAUUUAAGCUUUAAUUGCUUGUUCAUGUUAGUUCAGAGUGCAUUAACUAAUGUUAACAAGAUUUUAAUAAAGUAAUUGUUGAAAUUAACAUUAACAAAGAUUAAUAAAGGCUGUAUAAGUGCAGUUUAUUAUUAGUUCAUGUUAAUUAAUGUAGCUAACUAAUGUUAACUAAUGAACCUUAUUGUAAAGUGUUACCGUGAUUUCUUUUCAUCAUUUCAGACACAUGUAAAAGUUACUAAAAAUUAAUACUGCAUAUACUGUACAGUAUCUAUGCGUAAGGGAAAUAACUUAAACAAAAUUUUUAAUGUAUAGUGUAAUUAAGAGUUUAGCUGUUUAAUACAGAGAUGCAAUUUAUUUAUAUAUAUUAUUUAUAUAUAAACGUAUGUAUGUUUAUUAAAAAGUGAAAAUGCUUAAUGGAAAUAAUUAAAUAACUAAAUGGUUGAAUGUAAUGAGACAUUUUAAAUGUAAACUAAAGUUUUGCUGUCUAAAACAGAAUAAAGAGAUGUGAUU